rnacentral:rRNA from 1 species
UACAGAGGUCUCAAGCGUUGUUCGGAUUCAUUGGGCGUAAAGGGUGUGUAGGCGGCGCCGGUAAGUCGGGUGUGAAAUUCGUGACUUAACUCCGAAACUGCAUUCGAUACUGCCGUGCUUGAGGACUGGAGAGGAGACUGGAAUUUACGGUGUAGCGGUGAAAUGCGUAGAUAUCGUAAGGAAGACCAGUGGCGAAGGCGGGUCUCUGGACAGUUCCUGACGCUGAGGCACGAAGGCCCAGGGGGAGCAAAACGGGG